rnacentral:rRNA from 16 species
GGACUUUUAAGUCAGAUGUGAAAUCCCAAGGCUCAACCUUGGAACUGCAUUUGAAACUGGGAGUCUAGAGAUCAGGAGAGGUUAGUGGAAUACCGAGUGUAGAGGUGAAAUUCGUAGAUAUUCGGUGGAACACCAGUGGCGAAGGCGACUACCUGGACUGAUACUGACACUGAGGUGCGAAAGCGUGGGGAGCAAACAGGAUUAGAUACCC